GGUGGACAGAAGGACAACAGCAUUGAGUCCAGAAGAGAAACUGUGACCAGAGGCCUCAUUCUCUACCUUGGUGAAAAGACAGAGGAAUUAAUCAAGGACUACCAGGUUUGUGAUGAUGACGAUUCUGCAGCCAUCCAAGAGGCCAUCACUUCAUUUGUACUCAACAUCUUUGUGGUUGAAGCAAGCUGGAAUUACCAUUGAGGGAACAGAGGACCUUUUUGGUAUUCCCAAUGUAGCACAUGCUUGCACCUACCUUAUGUGCCUUAUUUAUGCCUUGGAACUUAGCUAUCCAAAGAAACUGAAAUACACCUUUGCAGUAUUUCAGAAGAUCUUCCUGGAGCUGGAGGAUGUUAACAAAAAGAUGUCCUCCAAAGUCCACGAUCUCAAGAUCAGCUCACUGGCCUAAAAGCGAUACAGGCGUUGUUGAUGUUAGAGGGUUUGAGUUAGAUCCC